rnacentral:rRNA from 1 species
UACGAAGGAUCCAAGCGUUAUCCGGAUUUAUUGGGUUUAAAGGGUGCGUAGGCGGGCUAUUAAGUCAGUGGUGAAAGCCCCAAGCUUAACUUGGGAAUUGCCAUUAAUACUGAUUGUCUUGAGUACACUUGAAGUGGGCGGAAUGUGUCAUGUAGCGGUGAAAUGCUUAGAUAUGACACAGAACACCGAUUGCGAAGGCAGCUCACUAAGGAGUUACUGACACUGAGGCACGAAAGCGUGGGGAUCAAACAGG